UACGGAGGGUGCAAGCGUUGCUCGGAAUUAUUGGGCGUAAAGCGCGCGUAGGCGGCUUUGCAAGUCGGGUGUGAAAUCCCCAGGCUUAACCUGGGAACUGCAUUCGAGACUGCAUUGCUAGAGUAUGGGAGAGGGAAGUGGAAUUUCCGGUGUAGCGGUGAAAUGCGUAGAUAUCGGAAGGAACAUCAGUGGCGAAAGCGACUUCCUGGACCAAUACUGACGCUCAUGUGCGAAAGCGUGGGGAGCAAACAGG
rnacentral:rRNA from 1 species